GACGUAGGGGGCCAGCGUUGUUCGGAAUUACUGGGUGUAAAGGGUUCGUAGGCGGUGCGGCAAGUUGGGAGUGAAAUCUCUGGGCUUAACCCAGAGGCUGCUUCCAAAACUGCUGUGCUUGAGUUUGGGAGAGGGAUGCGGAAUUCCAGGUGUAGCGGUGAAAUGCGUAGAUAUCUGGAGGAACACCGGUGGCGAAGGCGGCAUCCUGGACCAACACUGACACUGAGGAGCGAAAGCCAGGGGAGCAAACGGG
rnacentral:rRNA from 1 species